AGGUAGGGAGGAUCGGGGUGCUAGCCGUACCCCUUCACCGGAAAUCGGCUUUAUGCUGGGAUCAGCAACGACUAGGUAAAUCUAUAGAUAGAAAGUACCCGCCUGCCUUACUGAAAUGAAAUCAUGCCGUGUUGGAUGGUUGCGGGCGGCUAACAGCGCGAAGGCGCUGUCUUGACCGUGUGCGCGCGAGCGCACGUUGCCGAAAUGGAUGAGGUCCGGGAGGGAGCAAUCCUAAGGUAGCGCAGUCAUGCUGGCACGUCUACGUGGUAGAUCUUGUAAGGCUUGAAAUGGGACCUUCUGUCUAUGGUGGUACUGGUCGGCUACCU
rnacentral:SRP_RNA from 1 species